UCAGGAUGAACGCUGGCGGCGUGCCUAACACAUGCAAGCCGAACGGAGUGUUUCUCGGAGGACACUUAGUGGCGGACGGGUGAGUAACGCGUGGGUAAUCUGCCUUACACAGGGGGACAACAGUUGGAACGACUGCUAAUACCGCAUAAGCCGGUGCGCCGCAUGGCGCAUCCGGAAAAAGAUUCAUCGGUGUAAGAUGAGCCCGCGUCUGAUUAGUUAGUUGGCGGGGUAACGGCCCACCAAGACGACGAUCAGUAGCCGACCUGAGAGGGUGAUCGGCCACAUUGGGACUGAGACACGGCCCAAACUCCUACGGGAGGCAGCAGUGGGGAAUAUUGCGCAAUGGGGGGAACCCUGACGCAAGCAACGCCGCGUGAGUGAAGAAGUAUUUCGGUAUGUAAAGCUCUAUCAGCAGGGAAGAAAACGACGGUACCUGCAGAAGAAGUCCCGGCUAACUACGUGCCAGCCGCAGC
rnacentral:rRNA from 1 species